GGUUCCAUAGUGUAGCGGUUAGCAUGUCUGCUUUACACACAGAAGGUCCUGGGUUCGUGUCCCAGAGGAGCUA
rnacentral:tRNA from 1 species